rnacentral:lncRNA from 1 species
UGAACCUCAACACUGAAAGCUCUCAUAAGAAUGGGCUAUUUCUGGUGUGGAAUGCUAAUACAUCCUUGACAUUUACAUCAAAACCUAGCACAUAGUAGACACAUGUAUUAGUGUGUGUGUUUAUGUAUGAUUGUGUGUGUGUGUGUGUGUGUGUGUGUGUGUGUGUCUGCAUGACAGAGAAAGAGAGAGAGAGAGGACUUAAAACAAUUUAGAAAACAUAGUUUAAAAAACUUUCCUUAGACAUGAUCAUUGUUAAUAAUUAGGUGUUACCUUUCUAGACCUUUUCAAUAUUUCUAUGUAUUUACGUAUUUAAAUAUGUGUACAUAAGUAUUAUGCACAUACACAAAGAGAGGUUUUUUUUAAAUGUAAAUGGUAUCUUACUUUUGUUAUAGCUCUCUUACUCUUUUUCUUCCACUUAAUGUGUGUGGGAGAUCAUUCCAUGUCCUUAUUUAGAAAUCUAUAGCAUUCUAUUUAACAGCUGCAUAGCAUUCUAUAGUAUGAAUGCCUUAUGAUGUAAAAAUCAUUCCCCAUUAGUGGCAAUUUUUGUUCUUAUAAGCCAUGCUGCCCUGUACAACCCUCGACCAUGAAUCUUGGUGCAAGUCUAUGUCUUUCUAUAGGACAGAGUCCUAGAAAAGGGGUAUGAUGGGUUGAAAGUAUAUGUGUAUUUGAAGUUUUUGAUGAAUAUUCCCAAAUUAUUAUAAAUACAAAAACUUUGUCUUAUGAGUUAAGGCUAGUAAGAAAUUUUGACAUUGGUAUGUCUGUUUAUUUUUGAGAGGGUGUUUGACAUGAUUCCAAAUUGUGAAGCCAACUGAAUUUUCUCCUUUCUAAUCAGCUGUUUGAACAUCUCACUGAUACUGUUUACAUAUGCUGGCCUGAAACACUGGCAAAGAGAAACACAUCUGGGGGAAACAGGAAACAACUGGCCAGUUCCCCUUCUGAUCUGGAAAAAGAAUCCUUCUUGUGGUUGUCAUCUCUACUCUUCCUCCAUCAAAACUUUGCUCAAGAGAAUCGUAGAAGUGGAGAGAGACUUGGAAAUCAUCAAUUCCUGACUCAAUUCCUUCAUGCAGUUUAAACCUUCUUUGUAAGGGAUGCUGCCACUUCUUCUAAUAAAGCCAGAUUUGAGGAGUUGACUACUUUGUAA